UCAAGCGUAUACGUAAGCGGCUGGAGAGGCCGAGCUGGGUGCUCGCCUGCCGCUGUUACUGCACCUGUUCACUGCUGGCAUCUUCCAGAACGACCGGGUGCUGGAAGAGGCGACGCGCCUGCCGUGGCAGCGGCUGCCGGAGCCGGCACUAGAGGAGGCGCUGGAGCGCUUCUUCGCGCAGCACUACAGCCUGGCCGUGCCCUACCAUGAGCUGCCGCAGUUCAGGGUAUUGCUUUACGCGGCGGAGCUCCGCUGGCCGCCAGAGAGCCUCGGCAGCGUCAGCGUCAGCGGCUGCAGCCGACAGAAGCGCGGCCGGCUCGUGUCCACGUGGGUGCGCAGCGCCAGCGCGCCCCCGCUGGCCCCCCACGUGGCCCCCCACACGCGCGCGCUGCUGGGGGCCAUCAGUAUGGCAGGUCAGUGGCUCCACACAGCGUCAUUAGUAUCAGCGCCUG